AUUGAACGCUGGCGGCAGGCCUAACACAUGCAAGUCGGGCGAGCGGCGGACGGGUGAGUAAUGUAUGGGGAUCUGCCUGAUGUAGGGGGAUAACUACUGGAAACGGUAGCUAAUACCGCCUACCAUCAGAUGAACCCAUAUGGGAUUAGCUUGUAGGUGAGGUAACGGCUCACCUACGCGACGAUCCCUAGCUGUUCUGAGAGGCUGAUCAGGCACACUGGUACGGGUAAACGUCCAAUACUCCUACUGGAGGCAGCAGUGGGGCAUAUUGCACAAUGUGCGUAAGACGGAUGCAGCCAGUCCGGGUGUAUGAAGAAGGUAUUCGGGGUGUAAAGUACUUUCAGUGAGGAGGCGUUACCGACAGAAGAAGCACCAGCUAACUACGUGCCAGCGGCCGCGGUAAUAA
rnacentral:rRNA from 1 species